rnacentral:rRNA from 1 species
CCCUUAGAUGUUCUGGGCCGCACGCGCGCUACACUGACGAAUGCAACGAGCUUAUAACCUUGGCCGAAAGGUCUGGGUAAUCUCCAAAUUUCGUCGUGAUGGGGAUAGAUUAUUGCAAUUAUUAAUCUUCAACGAGGAAUGCCUAGUAAGCGCAAGUCAUCAGCUUGCAUUGAUUACGUCCCUGCCCUUUGUACACACCGCCCGUCGCUCCUACCGAUUGAAUGAUCCGAUGAAUAUCAUGGAUUGAGGAUGCAAGUAGGUUCGCCUAUCUUCAUCUUCGAGAAGUGAAGUAAAUCUUAUCAUUUAGAGGAAGGAGAAGUCGUAACA